GAGGGAAAAACAGGGGGUUUUGGGCUCCAAAACAGAGCUUUCAGAGUUUUUUUUUUAUUCAUGGGAAACCAACUAAGGAAGGAGGACGGCGGCUCCUUUCCCCUCUUUUAUAUGACUCACGACACACCCUAAAUCCCUAAUCAAAUCCUAAUCAAAAUAGACUCAAAGAAAGCUAAACCCAAACCAACAAGACUCCUAAUCCCAACUUAAUCCAAACCCAAAACAAACUUAAUUAAGCAAUACACAAAGACUCCACACUUGAUUCAACCAAAUCAUAAUUCUAAAACAAAAAGAACUCCUAAUCAUGGCUCCACGGCUGGGUUUCAUUAUGGUCCUGCAUCA
rnacentral:lncRNA from 1 species